AUGAGCCAUUUCAUACCUAGCAUUCCCCAGAGAGCCAGAAGACCAAUGAACGGCCUGUUCCUCUCUAGUCUCUCUUCCGUUUCCGGUGGUAUCAUCGUCUCAGAGUUUAUCUUCUCCAUAUCGCUUGCCUGUUCUCGUUGCCUCGUAAGCUCUUGAGUUACACCAUCGUUUGCGUUCACCUCUGGGAUGUUAAAAAUCUGGUUUCUUUUACUGGCAUGGCGGCCGUUCGUGUAUACAUGCUCCUCUAUCUAGCCACGGGAUGCAGUGAUGAUACACAUCUAUACGCUGCGUUAAGAACAAGAACAUGCAGUUGCAUGGCCACCUAUUAUUGGUUUCACUUGUGCUGCUGGUGUUUGUUCGUCUGGUUUGGCCUUUGGGUUCAUGUUUUCUCUGGAAGAGAGCUCUCUUCAGUCCACUCUGAAAUGGCUGUAGGGUUUCAUUAGCUGCCGACUCAUCCAUUC
rnacentral:precursor_RNA from 1 species